rnacentral:misc_RNA from 1 species
GCUGAAGAACGCAGCGAAAUGCGAUAAGUAGUGUGAAUUGCAGAAUUCAGUGAAUCAUCGAAUCUUUGAACGCACAUUGCGCCCCUUGGUAUUCCAUGGGGCAUGCCUGUUCGAGCGUCAUUUGUACCUUCAAGCUUUGCUUGGUGUUGGGUGUUUGUCUCGCCUUUGCGUGUAGACUCGCCUUAAAAUAAUUGGCAGCCGGCGUAUUGAUUUCGGAGCGCAGUACAUCUCGCGCUUUGCACUCAUAACGACAGCGUCCAAAAGUACAUUUUACACUCUUGACCUCGGAUCAGGUAGGGAUACCCGCUGAACUUAAGCAUAUCAAUAAGCGGAGGA